CUACGGGACGCACCAGUGAGGAAUAUUGCACAAUGGGGGGAACCCUGAUGCAGCAACGCCGCGUGGAGGAUGACGCAUUUCGGUGUGUAAACUCCUUUUAUAUGUCAAGAAAAUGACGGUAGCAUAUGAAUAAGCGCCGGCUAACUCCGUGCCAGCAGCCGCGGUAAUACGGAGGGCGCAAGCGUUACUCGGAAUCACUGGGCGUAAAGGACGCGUAGGCGGGUUGAAAAGUCAGGUGUGAAAGCCUACAGCUUAACUGUAGAACUGCACUUGAAACUCUCAAUCUAGAGUAUGGGAGGGGCAGAUGGAAUUAGUGGUGUAGGGGUAAUAUCCGUAGAUAUCACUAGGAAUACCUAAAGCGAAGGCAAUCUGCUGGAACAUUACUGACGCUAAGGCGUGAAAGCGUGGGGAGCAAACAGGAUUAGAUACCCUCGUAGUC
rnacentral:rRNA from 1 species